CCUCGAGUGGCAGACUAGUGCCUCGAACUUAGAAUUCGAAUAAGCGACCAGAUGUCGCCUCGAGGA
rnacentral:tRNA from 1 species